UCCCUGGUGGCCUAGUGGGUUAAGGAUCCAGCAUUGUCACUGCCGUGGCUUAGGUUCAAUCCCUGGCCUGGGAG
rnacentral:tRNA from 1 species